UUGCUUGUUGGGGUUGUAGGACACUCUAUACGGAGUUACAAAGGACGACAUUAGACGAAUCAUCUGGAAAGAUGAAUCAAAGAAGGUAAUAAUCCUGUAGUCGAAAAUGUUGUCUCUCUUGAGUGGAUCCUGAGUACGACGGAGCACGUGAAAUUCCGUCGGAAUCUGGGAGGACCAUCUCCUAAGGCUAAAUACUCUCUAGUGACCGAUAGUGAACCAGUACCGUGAGGGAAAGGUGAAAAGCACCCCGGAAGGGGAGUGAAAUAGAACCUGAAACCGUGUGCUUACAAGUAGUCAGAGCCCGUUAAUGGGUGAUGGCGUGCCUUUUGUAGAAUGAACCGGCGAGUUACGAUUUGAUGCAAGGUUAAGCAGUAAAUGUGGAGCCGUAGCGAAAGCGAGUCUGAAUAGGGCGUUUAGUAUUUGGUCGUAGACCCGAAACCAGGUGAUCUACCCUUGGUCAGGUUGAAGUUCAGGUAACACUGAAUGGAGGACCGAACCGACUUACGUUGAAAAGUGAGCGGAUGAACUGAGGGUAGCGGAGAAAUUCCAAUCGAACCUGGAGAUAGCUGGUUCUCUCCGAAAUAGCUUUAGGGCUAGCCUCAAGUGAUGAUUAUUGGAGGUAGAGCACUGUUUGGACGAGGGGCCCCUCUCGGGUUACCGAAUUCAGACAAACUCCGAAUGCCAAUUAAUUUAACUUGGGAGUC
rnacentral:rRNA from 1 species